UCUUUCUCUCUCCAGGGAUGAAGCACACAUGAGUUAUCCAACAUUAGUGUGUGUGCGUCAUAUUAAAAGGAUGCUUGUUGCCUGAUACAGUGGCUCACUGGAAAGUAAACUCCAGGCAAUCAGGCACAAGUGAAAAACCAAGCAACCAUCAGUCUCAGAAAGUACAGACUGGCCUCCUUAUGUCCCAUUGGUUUUCCUGCUGAUGCGGCAUUCUGUAUGUUCCCCAUGGAUGCGCAGUUUAGUGUUUAGGCUUAUGAAACCAUGUAUCUGACCUGGGGACUUCAAUUCCAGCCUUGAACCAGCCCACUUCUAGAUUGCCUAAAUUAUUAAUCUCAACUUGAAGGUUCAUGUCAAGGCCUACCACCCAGGAACCAUUACUGAUCCUGACUUUGGCAAGAGAGAGA